rnacentral:rRNA from 1 species
AAAAUCCGUUUAGACAAUGCUAGGAUGUGAUGGGGAAGCCCUUCGGGGCGAAGUAGCUGAUUUCACACUGUCAAGAAAAGCUUCUAUCGAGUUUAAAGGCGCCCGUACCGUAAACCGACACAGGUGGGUGAGGAGAGUAUCCUAAGGCCAGCGAGAGAACUAUUGUUAAGGAACUCGGCAAAAUGACCCCGUAACUUAGGGAGAAGGGGUGCCUGUCUAUGACAGGCCGCAGAGAAUAGGCCCAAGCGACUGUUUACCAAAAACACAGGUUUCUGCUAAGUCGCAAGACGAUGUAUAGAAGCUGACGCCUGCCCGGUGCUGGAAGGUUAAGGGGAUCUGUUAGAGCAAUCGAAGCAGUGAACUUAAGCCCCAGUAAACGGCGGCCGUAACAAUAACGGUCCUAAGGUAGCGAAAUUCCUUGUCGGGUAAGUUCCGACCCGCACGAAAGGCGUAACGAUUUGGGCACUGUCUCAACAAUAGACUCGGUGAAAUUGUAAUCCCGGUGAAGAUGCCGGGUACCUGCGACAGGACGGAAAGACCCCAUGGAGCUUUACUGUAGCUUGACGUUGGGUCUUGAUACUACAUGUACAGGAUAGGUGGGAGACUAUGAAGCAUGGACGCCAGUCUGUGUGGAGUCAUCCUUGGGAUACCACCCUUGUAGCACUGGGAUCCUAACCAUAGGCCUUGAAUCAGGUCUUGGAACACCGUCAGGUGGGCAGUUUGACUGGGGCGGUCGCCUCCUAAAAAGUAACGGAGGCGCUCAAAGGUUUCCUCAGCACGGUCGAAAAUCGUGCGAAGAGUGUAAAGGCAAAAGGAAGCUUGAUUGCAAGACAUACAGGUCGAGCAAGGACGAAAGUCGGACUUAGUGAUCCGGUGGUACCGCAUGGAAGGGCCAUCGCUCAACGGAUAAAAGCUACCCUGGGGAUAACAGGCUUAUCUCCCCCAAGAGUCCACAUCGACGGGGAGGUUUGGCACCUCGAUGUCGGCUCAUCACAUCCUGGGGCUGUAGUAGGUCCCAAGGGUUGGGCUGUUCGCCCAUUAAAGUGGUACGCGAGCUGGGUUCAGAACGUCGUGAGACAGUUCGGUCCCUAUCCGUCGCAGGCGUAGGAAAUUUGAGAAGACCUGUCCUUAGUACGAGAGGACCGGGAUGGACGUACCUCUGGUGUACCAGUUGUUCUGCCAAGGGCAUGGCUGGGUAGCUAUGUACGGAAUGGAUAAGCGCUGAAAGCAUCUAAGCGCGAAGCCAACUUCAAGAUAAGAUUUCCCACCGUAAGGGUAAGACCCCAGGAAGACUACCUGGUUGAUAGGUCGAAGGUGUAAGUGCAGUAAUGUAUUUAGCUUAUCGAUACUAAUAGGUCGAGGACUUGAUCAA